CUGUGUGUAGUGCGAUGUGGGGACGGAUCUUAAUAGGUCAUCCGGGUGUUGGAUAUCCCGGUUUAGGCAGAUGUAGGCGACAGGUAGGCAAAUCCGCCUGUCAUAUACCGAGGCUGCCGAUCGAGCGAGCUUGCUCGCGAAGUGAUUGAACGAGGUUCCAGGAAAAGCCACUAAGCUUCAGCUACACACGACCGUACCGCAAACCGACACUGGUGCGCGAGAUGAGUAUUCUAAGGCGCUUGAGAGAACUCGGGAGAAGGAACUCGGCAAAUUGACACCGUAACUUCGGAAGAAGGUGUGCCCUAUUAGUGUGAAGUGAACAACGGAGCAUGAAUGGGUUGCAAAAAAUCGGUGGCUGCGACUGUUUAUUAAAAACACAGCACUCUGCAAACACGAAAGUGGACGUAUAGGGUGUGACGCCUGCCCGGUGCUGGAAGAUUUAAUGAUGGGGUGCAAGCUCUUGAUUGAAGUCCCAGUAAACGGCGGCCGUAACGAUAACGGUCCUAAGGUAGCGAAAUUCCUUGUCGGGUAAGUUCCGACCUGCACGAAUGGCGUAACGAUGGCCACACUGUCUCCUCCCGAGACUCAGCGAAGUUGAAAUGUUUGUGAUGAUGCAAUCUCCCCGCGGAAAGACGGAAAGACCCCAUGAACCUUUACUGUAGCUUUGUAUUGGACUUUGAACAGAUCUGUGUAGGAUAGGUGGGAGGCUUUGAAGCAGGGUCGCUAGAUCUUGUGGAGCCAACGUUGAAAUACCACCCUGGUGUGUUUGAGGUUCUAACCUAGGUCCAUUAUCUGGAUCGGGGACAGUGCAUGGUAGGCAGUUUGACUGGGGCGGUCUCCUCCCAAAGCGUAACGGAGGAGUUCGAAGGUACGCUAGUUACGGUCGGACAUCGUGACGAUAGUGCAAUGGCAUAAGCGUGCUUAACUGCGAGACUGACAAGUCGAGCAGAUGCGAAAGCAGGACAUAGUGAUCCGGUGGUUCUGUAUGGAAGGGCCAUCGCUCAACGGAUAAAAGGUACUCUGGGGAUAACAGGCUGAUACCGCCCAAGAGUUCAUAUCGACGGCGGUGUUUGGCACCUCGAUGUCGGCUCAUCUCAUCCUGGGGCUGUAGCCGGUCCCAAGGGUAUGGCUGUUCGCCAUUUAAAGAGGUACGUGAGCUGGGUUUAAAACGUCGUGAGACAGUUUGGUCCCUAUCUUCCGUGGGCGCUGCAGAUUUGAGGAAGCCUGCUCCUAGUACGAGAGGACCGGAGUGGACGCACCUCUGGUGUAUCGGUUGUCACGCCAGUGGCAUUGCCGAGUAGCUAUGUGCGGAAGAGAUAACCGCUGAAAGCAUCUAAGCGGGAAACUCGUUCCAAGAUGAGAUCUGCCGGGGCCUUGAGCCCCCUAAAGAGUCGUUCAAGACCAGGACGUUGAUAGGUCGGGUGUGGAAGCGCAGUAAUGCGUUAAGCUAACCGAUACUAAUUGCUCGUGCGGCUUGACCCU
rnacentral:rRNA from 1 species